UACGAAGGGGGCUAGCGCUGCUCGGAAUCACUGGGCGUAAAGCGCACGUAGGCGGAUCUUUAAGUCAGGGGUGAAAUCCCAAGGCUCAACCUUGGAACUGCCUUUGAUACUGGGGAUCUCGAGUCCGGAAGAGGUGAGUGGAACUGCGAGUGUAGAGGUGAAAUUCGUAGAUAUUCGCAAGAACACCAGUGGCGAAGGCGGCUCACUGGUCCGGUACUGACGCUGAGGUGCGAAAGCGUGGGGAGCAAACGGG
rnacentral:rRNA from 1 species